CCGGCUGAAAAUAAUCCGCCGAGUAUAUUAGUGUCGGUAGUGUUUCAAACGCGCCAAAGGUCAUGAGCGCGCACUGCGGCCGAUCAGGGCGAUCGAAGCGGGUGCAAAUCAAACAUUCGCUAGCAUUUGUUUCAGACGUUUCACGCGAACUAACUACCGCGCGAGUAGGAGUUUCGUGUGCUUAUUGGGAGAGACCGAGGGCGUACGCUCACUGCGCUACCGCUGUUGACGUACACAUCACAGAAACGAGUCGAACGAAACGGCUACGUAUCGAAUUAUGACAUCACGGCACCUCCACAAACAAAACCAACGCUAGCGGCUAGCUGACGGUCCGCAAGAGUAGACUACGGACACAGCAUGACUAAUAAAAGCGCACAACACGAGUACAACAAGACGCGAUUGGAAGUGCACGCACGCAGCAGGAGUAGGAGUGGGAGGUGAAAGUUUACGCUUGCAGGAAAUAGUGCGAGAUAUGAGUAUACACAUGCGAUGAAAGGAGAUGGGUGUUGAGUGAAGUGAGUGAGUGAAACAAAUGGUAAAUAGAGCUUUGCUUGUUCGGCGCAUGUUGAUGCAGCUGCGCCCUGCGCCGGCAGUGCACUGCAGUUUAACAUAACCAAAAAAAGCAAACAAACAAAACUUGUUUAGGUUUAAAAAUAAGCAAGUUGUGUUAACGUAACAUAACCUCAAAAUUAUUUAAAAUAUAUACUCACCGGCAUUUUUGAUGUUUUCCUUGUUUUCGGCCAAUAGUGACGGACUCAUUACUGAGCCGAAUUGAGUAUAAUUGAAGCAUUUUCACAAAGUAGCAAUUGCGUUGCCAUAGCAACAACAAACAAGACAAUAGUCGCACACAAUGGAAACAAUGCAAAAUUUCGCGGUGCAAUUUAAGCAAAUUGCAAAUUAUUAUUAAAAGAGCUGGCGAUUGGAAUUGUUUCAAAAUAGGAAAUUCAAAUUUAAAUAAUGUAAGUGUGAAAUAUUACCAAAAAUAUUCCGUUAAUUCUUAUCUAAUCAAUAUGUAAAAUAUUAUUACAUUAUUAUAAUAUCCACCCAUGGUAACAUAUCGUUUGAAAACACUAGUAACAAACUCCAUAAUAUUGCGCAUUACAAAACUGACAAUUGUAAAACACACGAAAACACAAAGCGUAGUGAGCACGCAACUUUUCGCGGUGGUUGCCGAUUGCGAACUUUGCCAAAAUACAGUUUGGCCUGACGGCGACAGCGUCGACGCAUCCUGGGUUAAUUUUAGCUGCGCUUCAGACGCCGCAGCCGCCUCGACCCUGAUCAUGAGCGCGGAAAAUUUGUCAACUGGCAGGAAAUCGGAACAGCAAAAGAAAUAAAACGCAACACGCGCGCACAGACAGCACGGAGGCGGCAAGAGACACCUAGGUGCAGCAGUACGUGCACGUGCAGAUGGUAAACUUGAACUAGAUGCGCAUUAGAAGAGUGUUGGACGCGUGCCUACUGGAGAUUUUCCUCAAGAGUAUAAAUAGAUGAAAAACACAAGACUAAAAAUAAUUCCAUGGCGGACAAUAUCAUCUACUACCACAAUUAAUGCCUAAAACACGAAGGAAAUAAAAUGGUUAAAAAUA